UUGUUUUGCCACCUUGUGGCCCUUGCCUGCCGAAAGGUUGCCGACCGCUGCUAUAAAAUAUAAUUUAUAUU